rnacentral:rRNA from 1 species
AUCGAACGCUGGCGGCAUGCCUAACACAUGCAAGUCGAACGCGACCUUCGGGUCUAGUUGCGCACGGGUUCGUCACGCGAGGGAACCUUCCCUUAGGUUCGGACUAACUUUCCGAAAGGGGUGCUAAUACCGGACAAUGUCUUAGGCCCCAAGAUGUAUCGGCUUGGGAGGGGCCCGCGUUGGAUUAGCUAUUUCGUAGGGUAAAAGUCUACCAAGGGGACAAUACAUAGCUGGUCUGGGAGGAUGGUCCGCCACACUGGGACUGGGACACGGCGCAGACUCCUAGGGGAGGCAGCAGGGGGGAAUGUGGGACGAUGGGCGAAAGCCUGAGGUAGUAAGGUCGCGUGAGUGAGUAAGUAGUGAGGAUUGUAAAGCUGUGUUAAACGGGAUGAUAAUGACAGUACCGGGAGAAAAAGCGCCGGCUAACUCCGUG